AGAGUUUGAUCAUGGCUCAGGAUGAACGUUGGUAGUAUGCCUAACAUAUGCAAGUCGAACGGAGAGGUGGAAACAUCUCUUGCCCGAGAGGGCCUCGCGUGGCGUACGGGUGAGUAAUGCUUAUCUACUUGCCGGUUAGUGGGGGAUAAAAUCCGGGGAAACUCUGAUUAAUACCGCAUAUCCUGGUUUCAGCCAGGAAA
rnacentral:rRNA from 1 species